UUUUUUUUUGUUUUAUUUGGAAGAGUUCCAUAUGGAUUCGCUUGUAACUCUUAGUGUUUAGUCAGGUUUUUUGUGACAUUUUAGAGGAUUUCUUUCUUGAGGCCAAUUGCUGGCCUGAAAUUAUAAGGGUUCUUAAAUAGAGAGUUUUUGUUGGAUUAUGACCAGUUCAUUAGACCUUAUUUAACAUAGCCUUGGGUCAAUUUGAUCCAAUUUGAUCCAGCUGGUAAACGAGGUAAAAACAUGACAUUUCAGGGGUAGUGUAGGAAGUUUGGACAAGGAAUCUUAGUAUAACUGAUUUGAAACCUGGUUGGGGUUCAAAAUGGAGUUUCAGAUGCUUGGUGGUAAAAUUUGAGCAACAAGUCAGUACAUGAGGGAUUUUUAGGCUAAAACGAAAUUCCGAAAGGGCUAAAGUGAAAUAGUCUAAUUCCUAUGUGUUGCCCUAUACCUUCGCCUAUAAAAGACACCUUUUUGACUUUGAGGGGGUGUGAAAAUAUUGAGAAAUUAAAAGAAACGAAAGUGACUAUAAGCAAAAAGGGUUUACUGUUUCAUUAAAAAGUUUUCUCGUAAUCCGUGACGUUCAUUUUAGAUUUCUGAAGGCCAUUCUAGUUCUGGGUUUUAAAGUGAUGAGCAUGUUGAAGCUUGUGAUUUGAUUUUGGUGUUGUUGGCUUUUUGUUGUUGUUCCUCCUUAGUUUCGAGAUAACACUUGGUCUUUUGUUGCUUAUUCAGGUAUUUUUAGACUUCAAAUUGUGUAAAACUAUGCUUCUAAAGUACUGAAAUCCCACGGAAGCUCCAGGCUUAUGGAUUUUGAUGUUAGACAACUGAGCUCACUUCAAACUGAAGUGUAUACUAAUUUAACACUCCUGGGGCUCACCGUUUCUAUAUGACAUUCAGGAUUAAAUAAUGUUCUGAGUAUUUCCGGCUUGGAUGGAUUUAUAGGGCAAAUAUUUAUUGUUAUGUUGGUCUAGUGGC
rnacentral:lncRNA from 1 species